rnacentral:rRNA from 1 species
CACGUAGGGUGCGAGCGUUGUCCGGAAUUAUUGGGCGUAAAGAGCUCGUAGGCGGUGUGUCGCGUCGGCCGUGAAAACCUGCAGCUUAACUGUGGGCUUGCGGUCGAUACGGGCAUCACUGGAGUUCGGCAGGGGAGACUGGAAUUCCUGGUGUAGCGGUGAAAUGCGCAGAUAUCAGGAGGAACACCAGUGGCGAAGGCGGCUCACUGGGCCGAUACUGACGCUGAGGAGCGAAAGCGUGGGGAGCGAACAGG